rnacentral:rRNA from 1 species
AUUGAACGCUGGCGGCAUGCCUUACACAUGCAAGUCGAACGGCAGCACGGGAGCAAUCCUGGUGGCGAGUGGCGAACGGGUGAGUAAAGUAUCGGAACGUGCCCAGUCGUGGGGGAUAACGUAGCGAAAGUUACGCUAAUACCGCAUACGAUCUAUGGAUGAAAGCGGGGGAUCGCAAGACCUCGCGCGAUUGGAGCGGCCGAUAUCAGAUUAGGUAGUUGGUGGGGUAAAGGCUCACCAAGCCGACGAUCUGUAGCUGGUCUGAGAGGACGACCAGCCACACUGGGACUGAGACACGGCCCAGACUCCUACGGGAGGCAGCAGUGGGGAAUUUUGGACAAUGGGCGCAAGCCUGAUCCAGCCAUGCCGCGUGCAGGAUGAAGGCCUUCGGGUUGUAAACUGCUUUUGUACGGAACGAAAAGGUUUGACUUAAUACGUUGGACUCAUGACGGUACCGUAAGAAUAAGCACCGGCUAACUACGUACCAGCAGCCGCAGUAA